AACGCAUAUUGCACUCCCUGGUAUUCCGGGGAGUAUGCCUGUUUCAGUAUCAUGAACAACACCUCAGGCCAAAAAGGUGGGCGUCUCGUCUCGUCUUUUUGGACCCUGGAUCUAGGCUGUGAAACUUAUUCUGCAGCCGACCUCGAUCUCUCUUCUGAGGUCGGCCAGCCUGAAAUGCAUCCCACCGCGACAAGGGGAAAAAAAGAAAGGCGUUAUAGUUUGACCUCUGAGUCGAUCUUUUUCGCCGAAGAAAGAAAACCCUUGGGGCCCGCGGCGAUUUAGCAGGACACGACCGAAAGCGACCGGCGGGAAGCUAAUUCCUCCAGGUUGUCUUUUGAUCCUCAACUUGAUCUGAAAUCAGGUAGGAGUACCCGCUGAACUUAA
rnacentral:misc_RNA from 1 species